rnacentral:rRNA from 1 species
GACAGAGGGUGCAAACGUUGUUCGGAAUUACUGGGCGUAAAGCGCGUGUAGGCUGCUCUGCAAGUCGGAUGUGAAAGCCCUGGGCUCAAUCUAGGAAGUGCACUCGAAACUGCAGAGCUUGAGUCCUGGAGAGGAAGGCGGAAUUCUCGGCGUAGAGGUGAAAUUCGUAGAUAUCGAGAGGAACACCGGUGGCGAAGGCGGCCUUCUGGACAGUGACUGACGCUGAGACGCGAAAGCGUGGGGAGCAAACAGG